UACCAGCACCCCGAGUGGUCGGGACGUUUAUUGGGCCUAAAGCAUCCGUAGCCGGUUCUACAAGUCUUCCGUUAAAUCCACCUGCUUAACAGAUGGGCUGCGGAAGAUACUAUAGGGCUAGGAGGCGGGAGAGGCAAGCGGUACUCAGUGGGUAGGGGUAAAAUCCUCUGAUCCAUUGAAGACCACCAGUGGCGAAGGCGGCUUGCCAGAACGCGCUCGACGGUGAGGGAUGAAAGCUGGGGGAGCAAACCGGG
rnacentral:rRNA from 1 species